rnacentral:rRNA from 1 species
AACGGGUGAGUAACACGUAAGCAACCUGCCUUUAAGACGAGAAUAACAAUUGGAAACAGUUGCUAAGGCUGGAUAGGAAAUAAAAAGGAAUCUUUUUAUUUUUAAAAGACCUUUUUCGGAAGGUAUGCUUAAAGAGGGGCUUGCGUCACAUUAGUUAGUUGGUAGGGUAAAGGCCUACCAAGACGAUGAUGUGUAGCUGGACUGAGAGGUUGAACAGCCACAUUGGGACUGAGACACGGCCCAAACUCCUACGGGAGGCAGCAGUAGGGAAUUUUCGGCAAUGGAGGAAACUCUGACCGAGCAACGCCGCGUGAACGACGAAGUACUUCGGUAUGUAAAGUUCUUUUAUUGAAGAAGAAACAAUAGUGGAAAAACUAUCUUGACGUUAUUCAAUGAAUAAGCCCCGGCUAACUAUGUGCCAGCAGCCGCGGUAAUACAUAGGGGGCGAGCGUUAUCCGGAAUUAUUGGGCGUAAAGGGUGCGUAGGCGGUUUAAUAAGUCUCUAGUUUAAUUUCAACGCUUAACGUUGUCCUGCUAGAGAAACUGUUUAACUAGAGUGAGAUAGAGGUAAGCGGAAUUCCAUGUGUAGCGGUAAAAUGUGUAAAUAUAUGGAGGAACACCAGAGGCGUAGGCGGCUUACUGGGUCUUUACUGACGCUGAUGCACGAAAGCGUGGGGAGCAAACAGGAUUAGAUACCCUGGUAGUCCACGCCGUAAACUAUGAGUACUAAGUGUCGGGGUUAAACUCGGUACUGAAGUUAACACAUUAAGUACUCCGCCUGAGUAGUACGUACGCAAGUAUGAAACUUAAAGGAAUUGACGGGAUCCCGCACAAGCGGUGGAUCAUGUUGUUUAAUUCGAAGAUACACGAAAAACCUUACCAGGUCUUGACAUACUCUGCAAAGCUAUAGAAAUAUAGUGGAGGUUAUCAGGGAUACAGGUGGUGCAUGGUUGUCGUCAGCUCGUGUCGUGAGNUGUUAGGUUAAGUUCUAAAACGAGCGCAACCCCUGUCGUUAAUUGCCAGCACGUUAUGGUGGGGACUUUAGCGAGACUGCCAAUGAAAAAUUGGAGGAAGGUGGGGAUUACGUCAAAUCAUCAUGCCCCUUAUGAUCUGGGCUACAAACGUGAUACAAUGGCUAUUACAAAGAGUAGCUGAAACGCGAGUUUUCGGCAAAUCUCAAAAAAAUAGUCUCAGUUCGGAUUGAAGUCUGCAACUCGACUUCAUGAAGUUGGAAUCGCUAGUAAUCGCGAAUCAGCAUGUCGCGGUGAAUACGUUCUCGGGGUUUGUACACACCGCCCGUCAAACCACGAAAGUGGACAAUACCCGAAAGCGACAGCCUAACUGCGUAAGCAGAGGGAAUCGUCUAAGGUAGGGUCGAUGAUUGGGGUUAAGUCGUAACAAGGUAUCCCUACCGGAAGGUGGGGAUGGAUCACCUCCUUUCUA